rnacentral:rRNA from 1 species
CCUACGGGAGGCAGCAGUGAGGAAUAUUGGUCAAUGGACGAGAGUCUGAACCAGCCAAGUAGCGUGAAGGAUGACUGCCCUAUGGGUUGUAAACUUCUUUUAUAAAGGAAUAAAACGAGGCACGUGUGCCUUUUUGCAUGUACUUUAUGAAUAAGGAUCGGCUAACUCCGUGCCAGCAGCCGCGGUAAUACGGAGGAUCCGAGCGUUAUCCGGAUUUAUUGGGUUUAAAGGGAGCGUAGAUGGGUUGUUAAGUCAGUUGUGAAAGUUUGCGGCUCAACCGUAAAAUUGCAAUUGAUACUGGCAGUCUUGAGUACAGUUGAGGUAGGCGGAAUUCGUGGUGUAGCGGUGAAAUGCUUAGAUAUUGCGCAGAACUCCGAUUGCGAAGGCAGCAUACCGGCGGCGAUCUGACGCUGAGGCACGAAAGCGUGGGUAUCGAACAGGAUUAGAUACCCGAGUAGUC